AGCUCUGUAAGCGUAUACCAAAGUUGUUGCAGUUAAAACGCUCGUAGUCGGAUUUUGGCGUGCGACCGCGGGACGUCCGUGAGGACGGAUCUACGGCGUGCGCCUUUGUGGAGGGGGGCCUAGUGGUGCUUUAGUGCAUUGCUAGGUCGCCGCCACCGUUUACUGUGAAAAAAUUAGAGUGUUCAAAGCGGGCGUUUGCCGUGAAUAUAUUAGCAUGGAAUAAUAGAAUAGGACCUAGGUCUUAUUUUGUUGGUUUGUUGAGAUCGGGUAAUGAUUAAGAGGGACGGUUGGGGGCAUUUGUAUUCCGACGUCAGAGGUGAAAUUCUUGGAUUGUCGGAAGACAAACAGCUGCGAAAGCGUCUGCCAAGGACGUUU
rnacentral:rRNA from 1 species